AUGAAACCUUUGUUGAAGAAUAAUGACGUGCCAAAAGAUGGACGGAAGGCAAAUAUUCCAAAGGCAAGUACAACACAAAGAACAAAAUCUAAUUUCAAGAAUCUACUUCUAUUUUUGUUCUCUUUACUCCUUUUUUUCUUUCCUUUUUUGGGGCAACUUGUGCAGGACAGGUACAAAUGUACGUGUUCCAGUUCUGUGGCUGCAGAAAACAACAAAUAG
rnacentral:lncRNA from 1 species